UUUGCCUAACUCAAAGUGACAAAGAUUUUCUCCUAUGUUCUAAGAGUUUUAUAGUCUUACAUCUGACAUUAGGUAUAGGAUCUAUUUUUGAGUUAAUUUUUUAUAUGUUGUGAAGCAUACAUGUCGUAGUGAUGUCCAGAUGUUCUAGCACCAUUUAUUGAAAAACUGUAUUUUCUCCAGUGAAUUAUGGUUACAUCUUUGUGUAAAAACCAAUAUAUCACCUUUAUGUGGGUCUAUCUCAGAAUUUUACUUUUUAUUUUGUUCCAUUGGUUUAUGGGUCUAUCCUUUUGCCAAUACCACAUCAUCUUGACUACUGUAGAAUUAUAGUAUAUCUUAAAAUCGGACAGAUUUUGUCUUCUGACUUUGAUUUUCUUUUUCAGAAAAUUUUUGGCUAUAGUAGUUCCCUUACUUUUCCAUGUAAAUUUUAGAAUCAGCUUGUCCAUACUUAACAAAAAUUCUGCUACAUUUUUAAUUGGGAUUGCAUUAAACCUGUCUACAAAUUUGGGGACCACUGAAAUCUUAACUAUACUGAGUAUUCUGACCCAUGAUCAUAGUAUGUCUCUUCAUUUAUUUAGGACUUCUUUGGUUUUUUUCAUCAGUAUUUUGUAGGUUUCAGCAUACAGAUCUUGUAUAUUAUUUGUUAGAUUUACAUCUAGCUCUUUAAGUUUUGGAGUUAUUGUAAGUGGUAUUGUGUUUUUAAUUUUGGUUUCCCAAUUGUGCAUUGCUAGUAUAUAGAAACACAACAGGUGUUUGUGUUGAUUUUGUGUGUUGUACACUUGCUAAACUCACUUAUUUAGUUCUCAGAGUUUUUGUAGAUUCUUUGAAUUAUCUAUGUAGACAAUCAUGUCAUCUGAAAAUCAGGAUAGUUUUAUUUUUCUUUUCCAGAGUGGCCUUAUAUCUUUUUCUAGCCUGAUUGCAUGUGUUAGGACUUUCAUUAUGACACGGGAUAGCAGUGAUAUGAGAGACUGAAUGAAGUUGUGGUUAAUAAAGGAAAGAACUACUGGUAAGUAGGUAAGUAGUGACGAUUUUUCAAGCAAGCUUAGGCUGGAGACCACAAAUAAUUUCAGUUGUGUUAUUUGUAAUAAGUUGCAAUCAAUAUUUAUAAUUGGUUUUGUUAUUUUUGUAGUAGUUCUCAGCAGCCUGACUAUAGGAAUUGAGAAGGCAGACAGAUUGAAUCUGGAUUUUUUUUUUCUGGCUGAGGCAAUGCAGAUAGGGAGAUAAGAAUAUUGGCAAGAAAUACCAUUUGCAACAACUUGGUUGGGCCUAGAGGGUAUGAUGCUAAGUGAAAUAAGUCAGACAGGAAAGACAAAUACCAUAUGAUUUCACCAUAUGUGGAAUUUAAGAAACAACAAAAUGAACAAAGAAGAUAAACAAAAAAACCCAGACUCUUAAAGACAAAGAACAAAUAAGUGGUUGCCAGAGGGAAGGUUGUCUUAAUGAGCACAACUUAUCUUAAUGAGCACUGAGUAAUAUAUACAAUUGUAUCAUACACCUGAAAUAGUAUAAUAUUGUACUUUAAAUAUACUUCAAAAAUAUAUUGGCAACAGAAAAGUUGAAGCUCUAUCCAGUCAAAGCUAGAUAGAGAAGGGAGUAACAAUCUAAAAUUUUAAUUUUUAGUUAUGUUAUAUUUUCUUUCAGUGUUUUUCUACAUACAUAGAUACACUUUAAUACUGAAAAGUUUUAAAUUAAAAUUUUAAAUGUAAUUUUAUAAUGUUUUCAAGGUUCAUCCAUGUUAUAGCAUCUAUUCUUUUGGUUGCCAAAUAGUAUUCCAUUGCAUGGAUAUACCACAUUUUAUUACCUAUUUAUCAGCAGAUAGACACUAGGGUUGUUUUCACUUCUUGGCCAUUAUGAAUAGCUGCUGUGAACAUUCAUGUAGAAGUUUUUGUGUGGACUAUGCUUUCAUUUCUCUUUGUUUUUAUACAAGGACUGGAAUUUCUGGGCCAUAUGGUAUUUUUAUGUUUAAGAUUUUGAAGAAUUGUCAAACUGUUUUCCGAAGUGAUUGACCUGUUUUAUGUUCCAACCAGCAGUGUAUGAGGGUUGUGAUUUUUCCACAUAAAUGUCAACAAUAUUAUGUGUCUUUUGGAUCCUAGUGUAUAUUAAGUGCUGUAUUGUGGUUUUGAUUUGCAUUCCUCUAAUGGCUAGUGAUGUUAAGCAUCUUUUCAUGUGCUUAUUUCAUAUGAUUAUUUACUUAUGGAGAAAUGUCUACUCAGAUCCUUUAUCAUUUUUUUAAUUUGUUUUUAUUUAUAUUAUAGAAUUGUAAAUGUUCUUCAUAGAUCCUUCAUACAAGUCUCUUAUCAGAUAUUUGAUUUGUAAAUAUUUUUUCACCAAAGGCCACAUAUAUAAUUCCAUGAAAUCAUGAAAUCUAUAGAGACUGAAAGGUAGAUUAGUGGUUACUUAGAAGGAGUGAAGGGAUGGGGAGUGACUGCUACAGGGUAUGGGGUUUCUAUAUAUUCUAAAUUAAUUGAGGUGAUGGUUGUGCAACUCUAUGAAUAUCCUAAAAACCACUGAAUUGUACAUUUAAAGUGGUCAAAUUAUAUGGUAUUGUGAAUUAUAUCUCAACGAAGAUGAUAAAAAAUGUACUUUUGGUAUUUGACAGAGGAAGAUGGUGGCAUAGGAGGACACUGGCUCACCCUGUCCUGCUGACCACUUAGAUUCCACCCACAUCUGCCUACAUACCCCAGAAAACUGCCAGAGACUAGCAAAAUGGACUCUCUGGAGCAGGCAUAGACAAGAGGCCCACGGAAGAGGGUAGGAAGGGCGGAGAGGCAGUGCACAGUACACGGACUGGCGGGAGGGAGCUGGAGUGGUGGAGGGGCAGCCAGCCCACCUGGCAAGGCAGAACCCCCGAGUCUGGCUUCCAAAAGUGGAGGCGCCAGAUGGAGUGUGUUCUGACAGCCAGCGGGACUUAACAUCUGGAAUGGUAUAAGUCAACAGCUCUGCUCCAAGAGCGGGAGGGCUAGAGGACAACGGGAGGGAGAGUUGUUGAGCCCCGAGGACAGAGCUCAGCUUGGCGGGAAACAAAGGUGCUCUCCAGCACCAUUUCCCUCGCCCAUCCCCCAGCCAAAAUCCCAAAGGGAACCAGUUCCCAUCAGGGAACUUGCUUGCACUGCGCAAACACCCAAUGCUGUGAUUCUGUGGAUCCAUUCCUUGGAUGGGUCUGCCUCCCUCUCCAUGGCGCAGGGACCCUCACGAAGUGGACCACUGAAGGUAAAGCGAGCUAAGUCUGCUCCUCCCGCCCCUGUGCACCUUGUGGAUCCACCCCAGCUAAUACGCCAGAUCCCAGUGAAGCAGCACCACAAGCCUGGCAGUGUGCAAGAAGGCCAGACAGGGGCCACACCACUCCACAGUGAGUCCUGCCCCUGGGAGAGGGGAAAAUAAGGUACACACCAGUCUGACUGUGGCCCCAGCAGUGGGCUGGGGGCAGACAUCAGGUCUGACUGCAGCCCCGCCCACCAAUGCAAGUUAUGCCAGACAGCACAGAGGAAGAGCCCUGCAGUUCCGCACCACUCCAGGGACUAUCCAAAAUGACAAAACGGAAGAAUUCUCCUCAAAAGAAAAUUCAGGAAAGAUGAUGAAACUUCUGGAUAAUCUGUAAGAUUGAAAAGUGAAGGUGAUCAAAUGACCCUUUCUCUUGUAUGGAGAGAGAGACAGAGAGGGAGAGAGAGGGAUGGAGAGAGAAUCCAAAGCAGGCUCUGCACUAUCAGCGUGAAGCCCGAAGUGGGGCUCAAACCCACAAAACAUGAGAUCAUGACCUGAUCUGAAACCAAGAGACAGAUGUUUAACAGACUGAGCUACCCAGGUACCCCUGUGUUUGUUUUGUUUUAAAUUUAUGGAAAAGAUUUUAUAUGU